CUUUAAAGAACCAGGUUAAGGGGAUCGGUCUACUGUACUAUUCCUUUAAAGAACCAGGUUAAGGGGAUCGAUGUACUGUACUGUUCCUUUGAAGAACCAGGUUAAGGGGAUCGGUGUACUGUACUGUUCCUUUGAAGAACCAGGUUAAGGGGAUCGGUCUACUGUACUAUUCCUUUAAAGAACCAGGUUAAGUGGAUCGAUGUACUGUACUGUUCCUUUGAAGAACCAGGUUAAGGGGAUCGGUGUACUGUACUGUUCCUUUGAAGAACCAGGUUAAGGGGAUCGGUCUACUGUACUAUUCCUUUAAAGAACCAGGUUAAGGGGAUCGGUCUACUGUACUAUUCCUUUAAAGAACCAGGUUAAGGGGAUCGGUCUACUGUACUGUUCCUUUGAAGAACCAGGUUAAGGGGAUCGGUGUACUGUACUAUUCCUUUAAAGAACCAGGUUAAGGUGAUCGGUGUACUGUACUAUUCCUUUAAAGAACCAGGUUAAGGGGAUCGGUCUACUGUACUAUUCCUG
ensembl:lncRNA